UACGGGAGGCAGCAGUGGGGAAUUUUGGACAAUGGGGGGAACCCUGAUCCAGCCAUGCCGCGUGUCUGAAGAAGGCCUUCGGGUUGUAAAGGACUUUUGUUAGGGAAGAAAAGCCGGGUGUUAAUACCACCUGGUGCUGACGGUACCUAAAGAAUAAGCACCGGCUAACUACGUGCCAGCAGCCGCGGUAAUACGUAGGGUGCGAGCGUUAAUCGGAAUUACUGGGCGUAAAGCGAGCGCAGACGGUUAAUUAAGUCAGAUGUGAAAUCCCCGAGCUCAACUUGGGACGUGCAUUUGAAACUGGUUAACUAGAGUGUGUCAGAGGGAGGUAGAAUUCCACGUGUAGCAGUGAAAUGCGUAGAGAUGUGGAGGAAUACCGAUGGCGAAGGCAGCCUCCUGGGAUAACACUGACGUUCAUGCUCGAAAGCGUGGGUAGCAAACAGGAUUAGAUACCCUGGUAGUCCACGCCCUAAACGAUGACAAUUASCUGUUGGGACACUAGAUGUCUUAGUAGCGAAGCUAACGCGUGAAAUUGUCCGCCUGGGGAGUACGGUCGCAAGAUUAAAACUCAAAGGAAUUGACGGGGACCCGCACAAGCGGUGGAUGAUGUGGAUUAAUUCGAUGCAACGCGAAGAACCUUACCUGGUCUUGACAUGUACGGAAUCUCUUAGAGAUAGGAGAGUGCCUUCGGGAGCCGUAACACAGGUGCUGCAUGGCUGUCGUCAGCUCGUGUCGUGAGAUGUUGGGUUAAGUCCCGCAACGAGCGCAACCCUUGUCAUUAGUUGCCAUCAUUAAGUUGGGCACUCUAAUGAGACUGCCGGUGACAAACCGGAGGAAGGUGGGGAUGACGUCAAGUCCUCAUGGCCCUUAUGACCAGGGCUUCACACGUCAUACAAUGGUCGGUACAGAGGGUAGCGAAGCCGCGAGGUGAAGCCAAUCUCAGAAA
rnacentral:rRNA from 1 species